rnacentral:lncRNA from 1 species
UGUGUUGCCAUGGCCUUGUUAUCUUUUGAUUUCAUCCUGUUUGCCUAACCCCUUUUGUUGAGUUUUUGUGAGGGCUCACAUAUUCUCGCAGGGAUACCCUCCGGAGGUUUAUUCCGAUUUCCCGUACUGAUUGGUUUUCUUUGAUGGCAUCAGCUUGGGAGAAUCUCAGGGUCGCUUAUCCUUUAAUUGCUGUAACUUCGGAUCUUGAUCCGUGUGGUAUUUUACUUCUUCCCUUUUAUUUCUACUGUUUCUUAGCUGGAAGACCUCGAUAGGAGGCAAUGUUUGAGCCCCUUGGUGGCAUUUUUUCUAUUUCAAGAUAUAUGU